CUACGUGCCAGCAGCCGCGGUAAUACGGAAGGUCCAGGCGUUAUCCGGAUUUAUUGGGUUUAAAGGGAUUGUAGGCGGUCUGUUAAGCGUGUUGUGAAAUUUAGGUGCUCAACAUCUACCUUGCAGCGCGAACUGGCGGACUUGAGUGCACGCAACGUAUGCGGAAUUCAUGGUGUAGCGGUGAAAUGCUUAGAUAUCAUGACGAACUCCGAUUGCGAAGGCAGCGUACGGGAGUGUUACUGACGCUUAAGCUCGAAGGUGCGGGUAUCGAACAGGAUUAGAUACCCUGGUAGUCCGCACGGUAAACGAUGGAUGCCCGCUGUUGGUACCUGGUAUCAGCGGCUAAGCGAAAGCAUUAAGCAUCCCACCUGGGGAGUACGCCGGCAACGGUGAAACUCAAAGGAGUUGACGGGGGCCCGCACAAGCGGAGGAACAUGUGGUUUAAUUCGAUGAUACGCGAGGAACCUUACCCGGGCU
rnacentral:rRNA from 1 species